AGAGUUUGAUCCUGGCUCAGAACGAACGCUGGCGGCGCGCCUAACACAUGCAAGUCGAGCGGUCGGGCUUCGGCCCGGCAGCGGCGGACGGGUGAGUAACGCGUGGGAACCUGCCCUGGAGCCCGGAAUAGCAGCGGGAAACUGCUGGUAAGACCGGAUACGCCCCUUUGGGGGGAAAGACCUGUCGCUCCGGGAUGGGCCCGCGUCCGAUUAGCUUGUUGGUGGGGUAACGGCCCACCAAGGCAUCGAUCGGUAGCCGGUCUGAGAGGAUGAUCGGCCACACUGGGACUGAGACACGGCCCAGACUCCUACGGGAGGCAGCAGUGGGGAAUCUUGGACAAUGGGGGCAACCCUGAUCCAGCGACGCCGCGUGGGUGAUGAAGGCCUUCGGGUUGUAAAGCCCUUUUCCCGGGGGCGAUGAUGACGGUACCCGGGGAACAAGCACCGGCUAACUCCGUGCCAGCAGCCGCGGUAAUUC
rnacentral:rRNA from 1 species